rnacentral:tRNA from 1 species
GACUCCAUGGCCCAAUGGAUAAGGCACUGGUCUACGAAUUCAGAGGUAUGGUGUUCUUGACACCUCCUAUGGAUCUGAAUUCCCCAAUUGGAGUCG